rnacentral:rRNA from 1 species
GACGAACGCUGGCGGCGUGCUUAACACAUGCAAGUCGAACGGAAAGGCCCUGCUUUUGUGGGGUGCUCGAGUGGCGAACGGGUGAGUAACACGUGAGUAACCUGCCCUUGACUUUGGGAUAACUUCAGGAAACUGGGGCUAAUACCGGAUAGGAGCUCCUGCUGCACGGUGGGGGUUGGAAAGUUUCGGCGGUUGGGGAUGGACUCGCGGCUUAUCAGCUUGUUGGUGGGGUAGUGGCUUACCAAGGGUUUGACGGGUAGCCGGCCUGAGAGGGUGACCGGCCACCAUGGGACUGCGAGACGGAGCAGACGGCUACGGGAGGCAGCAGUGGAGAAUAUGGCACAAUGGGCGGAAGCCUGAGGCAGAGACGCCGCGUGCGGGAUGACGGCUUUCGGGUUGUAAACCGCUUUGGCCUGAGACGAAGCGUGAGUGACGGUAAUGGGUAAAGAAGCACCGGCUAACUACGUG